rnacentral:rRNA from 1 species
UACAGAGGGUGCGAGCGUUAAUCGGAAUUACUGGGCGUAAAGCGUGCGUAGACGGUUAUUUAAGUCGGGUGUGAAAGCCCCGGGCUCAACCUGGGAAUUGCAUUCGAGACUGAAUAGCUAGGGUACGGUAGAGGGAAGUGGAAUUUCCGGUGUAGCGGUGAAAUGCGUAGAUAUCGGAAGGAACAUCAGUGGCGAAAGCGGGUCUCUGGGCCGAUACUGACGCUGAGGUGCGAAAGCGUGGGGAGCAAACAGG